UACGUAGGUGGCAAGCGUUGUCCGGAUUUACUGGGCGUAAAGAGCGCGCAGGCGGUCGUGCAAGUCGCGUGUGAAAGCCCCCGGCUCAACUGGGGAGGGUCACGCGAUACUGCUCGACUCGAAGGCAGGAGAGGGAAGUGGAAUUCCCGGUGUAGUGGUGAAAUGCGUAGAUAUCGGGAGGAACACCAGUGGCGGAGGCGACUUCCUGGCCUGUUCUUGACGCUGAGGCGCGAAAGCUAGGGUAGCAAACGGG
rnacentral:rRNA from 1 species